rnacentral:misc_RNA from 1 species
AAGUCGUAACAAGGUUUCCGUAGGUGAACCUGCGGAAGGAUCAUUAAAAGUGAUUGGUUAUACAUUUCAUGUAUCAACUGCAUUAACCCAUUCCGAGUACCUUGCCUGUUGCUUCCAUGGGGCCUGACCUAGGUCACUCUUGUGAUGUGAAACCCAAGAGAGUCCCCAUGGGAGGUAACCCAAUUAAAAUUUCAGAUCCCAAUGUCUUCUGCUGAAACUGUUUUAAAACAAUGUUAAAA